CUUUUUUAGAGGCAGGGGAAACACCAUGUAUCUGGGUCCAUGAGGGCAGUUUUCCUUAAGUGUUCCCAGGGAUAACUGUUUUCUGGCAUGGUUUUCUACCUGCUGAGGUGUUGGGGCUUAAAGCCCACUUUAUGGAAACAGGAGGCUCCUCCCUAGCUUGCUUCGAGGUCAGGUGAAACUUGGAGGCAUCCGAGCCCUAAGCCUCCGGGCUUGGGCAUGCACGUAGGGUGCCUGUCAAAAGACUUGGGAAAUAGUUGAAGCCCCUGGUGGGAGUGGAGGAUAUUUGCCAGUUGUAGGGCCACUUAUGUUUCUGCACUGACUCACAGAUUUGGACUUGAUUUGGCUUGA